rnacentral:rRNA from 1 species
AGAACGAACGCUGGCGGCAGGCCUCAAACAUGCAAGUCUAGGGGAUGUAGCAAUACAUCACCGGCGGACGGGUGCGUAACGCGUGGGAAUAUACCUAUUGGUUCGGAACAACUGAGGGAAACUUCAGCUAAUACCGGAUGAGCCCUAACGGGGAAAGAUUUCUCGCCAAUAGAUUAGCCCGCGUCCGAUUAGCUAGUUGGUGGGGUAAAAGCCUACCAAGGCGACGAUCGGUAGCUGUUCUGAGAGGAAGAUCAGCCACACUGGGACUGAGACACGGCCCAGACUCCUACGGGAGGCAGCAGUUGGGAAUCUUGGACAAUGGGGGAAACCCUGAUCCAGCCAUGCCGCGUGAGUGAUGAAGGCCUUCGGGUUGUAAAACUCUUUCGACGGGGACGAUAAUGACGGUACCCGUAGAAGAAGCUCGGCUAACUCGUGCCAGCAGCCGC